AUGAUUGAUACAGGAGUACGACCGGACACGGCUGUUUAUCGUUCCCUAAUCCAGGGAUUUUGUACACAUGGCGAUUUGGUGAAAGCAAAGGAAUAUGUUACUGAAAUGAUGAACAAAGGUAUGCUUCCUCCUGAUAUUAUGUUCUUCAGUUCAAUAAUGCAGAACCUAUGCACGGAAGGAAGGGUAAUAGAAGCACGGGAUAUCCUCGACUUGAUGGUGCACAUAGGUAUGAGGCCUGAUGUUCCCAUCUUUAAUUUGCUGAUAGGUGGAUACUGCCUAGUCUGCAAGAUGGAGGAUGCAACAAAAGUGUUUGAUGAUAUGGUGUCAUAUGGUUUAGAACCUUGUAACAUUACGGAUGGUAUGCUUAUUAAUGGCUAUUGCAAAAAUAGAAGGAUUGAUGACGGGCUUAUUCUGUUCAAAGAGAUGCUGCACAAGGGACUUAAACCUACAACUUUUAAUUAUAACGUCAUCUUGGAUGGAUUAUUUCUGGCUGGACGAACUGUUGCCGCAAAGGAAAAGUUUAAUGAGAUGGUUGAAUCUGGAGUAAGUAUGUGCAUCAGUACUUACUCUAUAGUUCUUGGUGGACUUUGUAGAAAUAGUUGCAGUAGCGAAGCAAUCACACUAUUCCAGAAAUUAAGCACGAUGAAUGUGAAAUUUGAUAUUAGAAUUGUCAAUAUCAUGAUUGGUGCAUUCUACAGGGUUCGGCGAAACCAAGAAGCUAAGGAUUUGUUUGCCGCAAUACCAUCAAAUGGCUUGGCAGCUAAUGUAGUUACCUACAGCAUAAUGAUAAUAAAUCUUAUAAAAGAAGGUUCAGUGGAAGAAGCUGACAAUCUUUUUUUAUCUAUGGAAAAGAGUGGUUGUACCGCUGACUCUUGUAUGUUAAAUCAUAUUAUCAGAAGGCUACUGGAAAAAGGAGAGAUGGUCAAGGCUGGAAAUUAUAUUUCUAAAGUUGAUGCAAAUAGCUACUCACUUGAAGCUAAAACUGUUUCGCUGCUGAUCUCUCUGUUUUCAAGGAAAGGGAAAUAUAGAGAACACAUCACAUUGCUCCCUACAAAGUAUCAGUUUCGUGAAGAAGCGGCCACAGUUGAGUUGUUUGAUACAUGG
rnacentral:rRNA from 1 species